rnacentral:rRNA from 1 species
UACGUAGGGUGCAAGCGUUGUCCGGAAUUAUUGGGCGUAAAGAGCUCGUAGGCGGUCUGUCGCGUCUGCUGUGAAAACUCAGGGCUUAACCCUGAGCUUGCAGUGGGUACGGGCAGACUAGAGUGCGGUAGGGGAGACUGGAAUUCCUGGUGUAGCGGUGAAAUGCGCAGAUAUCAGGAGGAACACCGGUGGCGAAGGCGGGUCUCUGGGCCGUAACUGACGCUGAGGAGCGAAAGCAUGGGGAGUGAACAGG